rnacentral:rRNA from 1 species
UGACUGUAGGUGAAAGCUUACAUCUCUUCGGAGCAUUUUACGAGGUGCUGCAUGGUUGUCGUCAGCUCGUGCCGUGAGGUGUCGGGUUAAGUCCCAUAACGAGCGCAACCCCUACCUUUAGUUGCCAUCAGGUUAAGCUGGGGACUCUAAAGGAACUGCCUACGCAAGUAGUGAGGAAGCGGGGAUGACGUCAAAUCAGCACGGCCCUUACGUCCAGGGCUACACACGUGCUACAAUGGCCGAUACAGAGGGCAGCUACCUGGUGACAGGAUGCAAAUCUCCAAAGUCGGUCUCAGUUCGGAUCGGAGUCUGCAACCCGACUCCGUGAAGUUGGAUUCGCUAGUAAUCGCGCAUCAGCCAUGGCGCGGUGAAUACGUUCCCGGGCCUU